rnacentral:rRNA from 1 species
GGCGGGACACGUGGUAUCCUGUCUGAAUAUGGGGGGACCAUCCUCCAAGGCUAAAUACUCCUGACUGACCGAUAGUGAACCAGUACCGUGAGGGAAAGGCGAAAAGAACCCCGGCGAGGGGAGUGAAAAAGAACCUGAAACCGUGUACGUACAAGCAGUGGGAGCCUCUUUAUGGGGUGACUGCGUACCUUUUGUAUAAUGGGUCAGCGACUUAUAUUCUGUAGCAAGGUUAACCGUAUAGGGGAGCCGAAGGGAAACCGAGUCUUAACUGGGCGUUAAGUUGCAGGGUAUAGACCCGAAACCCGGUGAUCUAGCCAUGGGCAGGUUGAAGGUUGGGUAACACUAACUGGAGGACCGAACCGACUAAUGUUGAAAAAUUAGCGGAUGACCUGUGGCUGGGGGUGAAAGGCCAAUCAAACCGGGAGAUAGCUGGUUCUCCCCGAAAGCUAUUUAGGUAGCGCCUCGUGAACUCAUCUUCGGGGGUAGAGCACUGUUUCGGCUAGGGGGCCAUCCCGGCUUACCAACCCGAUGCAAACUACGAAUACCGAAGAAUGUUAUCACGGGAGACACACGGCGGGUGCUAACGUCCGUCGUGAAGAGGGAAACAACCCAGACCGCCAGCUAAGGUCCCAAAGUCAUGGUUAAGUGGGAAACGAUGUGGGAAGGCACAGACAGCCAGGAUGUUGGCUUAGAAGCAGCCAUCAUUUAAAGAAAGCGUAAUAGCUCACUGGUCGAGUCGGCCUGCGCGGAAGAUGUAACGGGGCUAAACCAUGCACCGAAGCUGCGGCAGCGACACUAUGUGUUGUUGGGUAGGGGAGCGUUCUGUAAGCCGUUGAAGGUGUGCUGUGAGGCAUGCUGGAGGUAUCAGAAGUGCGAAUGCUGACAUAAGUAACGAUAAAGCGGGUGAAAAGCCCGCUCGCCGGAAGACCAAGGGUUCCUGUCCAACGUUAAUCGGGGCAGGGUGAGUCGACCCCUAAGGCGAGGCCGAAAGGCGUAGUCGAUGGGAAACAGGUUAAUAUUCCUGUACUUGGUGUUACUGCGAAGGGGGGACGGAGAAGGCUAUGUCAGCCGGGCGACGGUUGUCCCGGUUUAAGCAUGUAGGCGGAGGUUCCAGGUAAAUCCGGUACCUUUUAACGCUGAGGUGUGAUGACGAGGCACUACGGUGCUGAAGUGAUAAAUGCCCUGCUUCCAGGAAAAGCCUCUAAGCAUCAGGUAACACGAAAUCGUACCCCAAACCGACACAGGUGGUCAGGUAGAGAAUACCAAGGCGCUUGAGAGAACUCGGGUGAAGGAACUAGGCAAAAUGGUGCCGUAACU